rnacentral:rRNA from 1 species
UGGGGAAUAUUGGACAAUGGGCGAAAGCCUGAUCCAGCCAUGCCGCGUGUGUGAAGAAGGUCUUCGGAUUGUAAAGCACUUUAAGUUGGGAGGAAGGGUUGUAGAUUAAUACUCUGCAAUUUUGACGUUACCGACAGAAUAAGCACCGGCUAACUCUGUGCCAGCAGCCGCGGUAAUACAGAGGGUGCAAGCGUUAAUCGGAAUUACUGGGCGUAAAGCGCGCGUAGGUGGUUAGUUAAGUUGGAUGUGAAAUCCCCGGGCUCAACCUGGGAACUGCAUUCAAAACUGACUGACUAGAGUAUGGUAGAGGGUGGUGGAAUUUCCUGUGUAGCGGUGAAAUGCGUAGAUAUAGGAAGGAACACCAGUGGCGAAGGCGACCACCUGGACUAAUACUGACACUGAGGUGCGAAAGCGUGGGGAGCAAACA